GAUGAACGCUGGCGGCGUGCUUAACACAUGCAAGUCGAACGAUGAAGCCCAGCUUGCUGGGUGGAUUAGUGGCGAACGGGUGAGUAACACGUGAGUAACCUGCUCUUAACUCUGGGAUAAGCCUGGGAAACUGGGUCUAAUACCGGAUAGGAGCGUCCACCGCAUGGUGGGUGUUGGAAAGAUUUAGCGGUUUUGGAUGGACUCGCGGCCUAUCAGCUUGUUGGUGGGGUAAUGGCUCACCAAGGCGACGACGGGUAGCCGGCCUGAGAGGGGGACCGGCCACACUGGGACUGAGACACGGCCCAGACUCCUACGGGAGGCAGCAGGGGGGAAUAUUGCACAAUGGGCGCAAGCCUGAUGCAGCGACGCCGCGUGAGGGAUGACGGCCUUCGGGUUGUAAACCUCUUUCAGUAGGGAAGAAGCGAGAGUGACGGUACCUGCAGAAGAAGCACCGGCUAACUACGUG
rnacentral:rRNA from 1 species